GUCCUCACCUUACCACCUUGGACAUACUCAAUUCCUUCUGUUGUUGGAAGCUAAGCAGGGUCAGGCCUUGUUAGUACUUGAGUGGGAGAAAUACUGAGAGACACAGUGAUGACU
rnacentral:rRNA from 1 species